UACGGAGGGUGCGAGCGUUAAUCGGAAUUACUGGGCGUAAAGCGCACGUAGGUGGUUCGUUAAGUCGGAUGUGAAAUCCCUGGGCUCAACCUGGGAGCUGCAUUUGUGACUGCAUGGCUAGAGUACGGUAGAGGGGGAUGGAAUUCCGCGUGUAGCAGUGAAAUGCGUAGAUAUGCGGAGGAACACCGAUGGCGAAGGCAAUCCCCUGGACCUGUACUGACGCUCAUGCACGAAAGCGUGGGGAGCAAACAGGAUUAGAAACCCCUGUAGU
rnacentral:rRNA from 1 species